CAUUUCGCGGUAUACAACCUUGAACUAUGGCGCUCCAUUAUCUCUAGCAUCGAUCGAGGUGUCAGCUCUCGAUGCUCGAUACGAACUGUUUUCAUAUAGAUCUAAUCUAGAUUGAGAAGCGCUGAUCGAAGAGGAACAGUUGCCAAUAAGCCACUUUGUAUUAUUAUAUCUCACUGAAUGAAAGCUCGGAUAAUCACCAUCUUCUUCAAAUGAUGUUUGAUAAGUGCUGUCAAUCAAAUGACGCUUGGUUACAUAAUAAGAGAGUGUGUGUGAGAGAGAGAGAGAGAGAAAACGGGCUUCAUCAACACACAACACAUUACUGGUUCUGACUUGAACAAACAGUGCGAUGUUAAAUUGGGGAAUGUUUCUCGCCUCUUAGUCCGAAUAAAUCUUACCUUGAAAGUAUAAUUUUUUUUAAUUUUUUUUUACCAUGAAUUCAUUUAUUUCUGACCAUUUUGUUGAUACAUUUUUAAUUUUAUCCAUAAUUUCGACUCAUGUAUUGAUGAAUUAUACCUUUUUUUUUAAAGGCUUUUUGUUUUUACUUGUUUUGGGGAUAAAUUAUUUAUGCACAAAUAUUUUAAUUUGUAAAAAAAAAAUAUACAUA